ensembl:lncRNA
CUCACUUAACUUUGAAGCAUCUUAUUAUAUAUGUUAUAAAUGUAUUUUCAUCCCUCAACAACCCUUCAAAUUGUCAUUCCAAGUAUGAGAGUUUCUGUAGUUAUCUUUGUUUUUCCUAAAUAAUAAUGGUGUUAUUAUUCCCAUUACUGAAUUUGUGAAAAGCAUUCACCAAGAAGUUUAAUAAAGAUUAAAGUACCAUUGUCCUUUGGGUUUACUUUUCUUUUCAUGGAAAUUUACAAAUAGAAAGGACCGCCGUAUCACCCUCCCUUUCGUAUUUCAGCAUUACCUCUUUGCAGGUUCACAGUCUGGAGAAUAACUUGGUGUGUGACACAGUUUCCAGGCCAGGACAUACUGUGUUGCUGUACAUAUACUUGGCCAUUUCCUCACUUGCCAUUGCUCUUUCACAUCAUUGGAGCAAGGUCUGUUCCAGAAAAAAGAUGGUGCCAGUCCAGGCUGUCUUCGGAAAAUUUACCUGAAAGAUACCGCCACAGCACAGAGAGCCUUUUGUGCCAUUGAGAAUGCACAGUCAAGGAGACACCAGCAAAAACUGAUGAAGCAGUCGUCAGUGAAACGUCUCAGGUCCCAAGUACCGUUGUCAUAGUCACCAGUCCCAGAGGGCUGGUAGUGAUGAAAAAAACACCCUUCUGUAUCCUGCUAAAGAGAAGUUUUCAGGCAGUUGUUUAGGUUUAUUAUUUUAGAGUAGCUAAUAUUGGAUUCCUUCUCCAAGCUUUUAGUUUUGAUAGUUAAUUUUGCAAUCAUGUGUAUAUUAGUCCACCUGUAGACUGCCACUUGAAUGGGUCAGACUCGAAGAAAUAUCGCUUCAGACUUGGACUGAAAUUUUCAUUAACACAUGAAGCAAAGGGCAGCAGGUUUAUUUUUAAAGUCUGCUAAAGAAUGAGUUUAGAAUGACUAGUGUGCUCUGAAAGGUUUUAGCCAAAGACGUAUGCUGGACACUUUGACAUUUUGUUUAAAAGUAAUUUGUUCAGUAAUUGAACUGAGAGAACAUUUUUGGUAAACCAGAUAAUUGACUGAAGAAAAGCCACUAAAAGGAGAACUGACAUGUUCGUUCUGUUCUGUUCUUUUCUUUUCUUUCUUCCUUUCUUCCUUCCUUCCUUCCUUCUUUCCUUCCUCCCCCCCCGCUCGGGGUCGCUCUUUCUUUCUUUCUUUCUGUCUUUCUUUGUUUCAUGAAAACAUGAUUUUCUCCUAAUAGCACAAAUUUUGCUUUGGUGCUUAGUUUUCUUCCUUGCACUAGAAAAAAGAAACGUGGGCAAUCACACCUUAAAACAGCUAUACUCAAUUGUCUGUAAUGUAACAUAAAAUUUUAAAAGUUAUUUACAUGCUCUUUUAAGAUGAGCUCAUAUGACAUGGUUGUAAUUUGCUGAUAAAUGAAGACACUGCACUUUAAGUUUUUUGGGACUCAGAAAUAUGUAACAUGCAAUAUUUUUGUAUUUUUAGAAGUUAAAAGACUUUCAAGGACAUCAUCAAUUAACAUUUGAUUCUAGUGCAUACUUAUAAAUGUAUUUUAAAUACUAGGGAAAAUGAAAAAUCACCAGUUGUUUUAUAUAUAAGUAAAGCACAAGUAGGUGUAUAUAACAGUACUGGAGAAGAAAUGUUACAUGUAUCCCUUCCUUUUCCUUGAGCAGGUGUUAGGGCAUCAAUUCAAGACAAUAUAUUUUUAUCCUUUCUGCAUCUUUCUUCAAAGACACAUGACUUUCAAAACUUUUUUAAAAAUACUUGCAAGUAUUUAAUUUGGGAGGACUUUAAGAUUUACUCAUGGUGUUGAACAUAGAAUUUAUUUCAAAUCAUUGAAUCAGUGGUGAAAUGAAGAUGUGCAAAAACUUGAUUUGGUCUCUUUGUUGAUGUGUGGUAUUGGGUCUGUUAUCAUUCAUUGUUCAUGUUUUUUAAGACCUGGCCAUAAAACUAAGAAUGUUCCCCGUGUUGCAGAAGAGAGUGCAGUGAUUACAGCCCUAGAGGUCUGGUUUGUCAUAGUCCUUGCCUUUUCAUCAUUUGUCUUUAAUUUCUGUGAAUAAAAGUAAUAUACAUGUAUAUAAAACUUCUAUCUUUAAAAACCAAGUUUCUGUAUUAGUGGUUAAUGGCAAUUUAUUAAAACAAGACAGUUUUGUACCAGGUAUUCUACUAUUUUGUGUUUUUAAAAAUGACUUAAUCAGGAAUUUGAAAUAAUCUGAUUAUAUUUUCAUAUGGAUCACAACUAUUGACAGUGUCCUAAAUAUUUAGGAAAUUAUAUUGCACUGAUAGUGUAUUCUAUAAGUGGAUGUACAGAAUAUUGAACUAAGAAAAAUUAUAGAAAUCUAUAAACUCAUUAUCUUAGUUGGCUUAGAAAUGAACUAUCUAAUAUUUGCAACAUUUUUGAUGUAAUCCUCUGGAGGAGAAGGAAUCUGUCAGUAAAGUGUAGUAAGGUCUGUCGUAUUUAAAAAAAUACUUUCAAAGUCAAUUACUUGGAUAUAAAUUCUGAGACAAAUAAAACAUUUGAAAUAUUGUUUAUAAGUGUGCAAACUUGUGAGUUUGUGUUAAAUACUCAAGUAAAAAUUUGCUUUUAAUUUUUGUCUUUCUCUUUUCCUCUUCCAAUUUUGCAGUAGUGAGAAGUUAGAUUAAUAAUUGCCUAACUUUAAAAGAUCCUAUUCAGGGAAAGCUUUUUUCCAGAGCCCUUUAACAUCGAGGGUCUGUGGCACAGACCCCAGUGUAGGGGCUGCAAAGAAGGAGCCUGUGCUACACUGUGAAGUCCAUCGCCGCAUUUGCAUUGAGCUGGUGCCUUCCGUGAGUCCUCAGCACCCAUAGGCCUGUUCUGGAUGCUCCCUGUUCACUUUGGCUUGCAGACUCCCCAGUGGCUGGGCAGAACCUUUACACUGCAUGGGAGUAUAGGAUACCUCUCUCCAGUCUCCUUUCUCUUUUCCCUUGCUCCCUCCACUCAUUCUCUCUUUUCUUCUGUCUUUCCCCCUGGGGCUCAGACUACAAGUCUGCAAGCUCCCCCAGUAGGGGAUUAUCCAGUGGGAAGAAGAGGCCCACAGCCUCACUCUGUGGAGUCUAGUAGAGCAGGAGAAUCCACAUCAAGAGAACAGAAAAUCAGAAGAGUAAACGUAAGCUUUGUAAGAAAAGUCUCAUGUAGCAUAAACUUCGUAUGUAUGUUUCGUUUGUUAGUAUUGGCAGCCACGACCGUGCAGCUCUAUACACAGUAAGAUGAACCGCUCCAGAAAGUGACAGGAAUGAUAAUGUAAGUGUCUUCUAAGUGAGGGGGACAGUAUUUUGAGGUGGUUUAAAGCCAUUGUAUCUUUUACUGUAAUAAAAUGUUGAAAAAUUUAGGCAGUACAGUAACUUUUUGAUCAUACCUCACCAAUCUG